rnacentral:rRNA from 1 species
GACGAACGCUGGCGGCGUGCCUAAUACGUGCAAGUCGAACGCUUUUUCUUUCACCGGGGCUUGCUCCACCGAAAGAAAAAGAGUGGCGAACGGGUGAGUAACACGUGGGUAACCUGCCCAUCAGAAGGGGAUAACACUUGGAAACAGGUGCUAAUACCGUAUAACACUAUUGUCCGCAUGGGAGAAAGUUGAAAGGCGCUUUUGCGUCACUGAUGGAUGGACCCGCGGUGCAUUAGCUAGUUGGUGAGGUAACGGCUCACCAAGGCAACGAUGCAUAGGCGACCUGAGAGGGUGAUCGGCCACACUGGGACUGAGACACGGCCCAGACUCCUACGGGAGGCAGCAGUAGGGAAUCUUCGGCAAUGGACGAAAGUCUGACCGAGCAACGCCGCGUGAGUGAAGAAGGUUUUCGGAUCGUAAAACUCUGUUGUUAGAGAAGAACAAGGAUGAGAGUAAAAUGUUCAUCCCUUGACGGUAUCUAACCAGAAAGCCACGGCUAACUACGUGCCAGCCGCCGCCGUAA